AUGAACGCUAGCGGGAGGCUUAACACAUGCAAGUCGAGGGGUAUAAUCAGCAAUAAUUAGAGACCGGCGCACGGGUGAGUAACGCGUAUGCAACCUGCCCUUUACCGGGGGAUAGCCCGUAGAAAUGCGGAUUAAUACCCCAUAGUUCUGUAGUGCCGCAUGGCGCAACAGAUAAAGUUUCGGUGGUAAAUGAUGGGCAUGCGUGACAUUAGCUAGUUGGUGGGGUAACGGCCCACCAAGGCUACGAUGUCUAGGGGUUCUGAGAGGAAGAUCCCCCACACUGGUACUGAGACACGGACCAGACUCCUACGGGAGGCAGCAGUGAGGAAUAUUGGUCAAUGGGCGAGAGCCUGAACCAGCCAUCCCGCGUGCAGGAAGAAUGCCCUAUGGGUUGUAAACUGCUUUUUCGCAAGAAGAACAUCCCGAACGAGUUCGGGACUGACGGUACUGCGAGAAUAAGCACCGGCUAACUCCGUGCCAGCAGCCGCGGUAAUACGGAGGGUGCAAGCGUUAUCCGGAUUUAUUGGGUUUAAAGGGUGCGUAGGCGGCAAUUUAAGUCAGUGGUGAAAUCCUGCAGCUCAACUGUAGAACAGCCAUUGAAACUGAAUUACUUGAGUAAUCUUGAGGUAGGCGGAAUGUGUAGUGUAGCGGUGAAAUGCUUAGAUAUUACACAGAACACCGAUUGCGAAGGCAGCUUACUAAGGAUUUACUGACGCUGAUGCACGAAAGCGUGGGGAUCAAACAGGAUUAGAUACCCUGGUAGUCCACGCCGUAAACGAUGAUGACUCGCUGUUGGCGAUAUACAGUCAGCGGCUUUAGCGAAAGCGUAAGUCAUCCACC
rnacentral:rRNA from 1 species